UACGUAGGGGGCGAGCGUUAUCCGGAAUUACUGGGCGUAAAGCGCACGCAGGCGGUUCGCCAAGUUUGGAGUGACAGUUGUCGGCUCAACCGACAAAGGACUUCAAAAACUGGUGAACUUGAGGACGGAGAGAGGAACAUGGAACUCCAGGUGUAGUAGUGAAAUGCGUAGAUAUCUGGAAGAACACCAAUGGCGAAGGCAAUGUUCUGGCUCGUUUCUGACGCUCAGGUGCGAAAGCCAGGGGAGCGAACGGG
rnacentral:rRNA from 1 species